rnacentral:lncRNA from 1 species
CAGUCAUUCCAUUAGUUUAAUACUGAGUUGUUCAGAAACUUCUCAGUCAGUAACAUGAAGAUCCAUUCCUGAAAAGCACUCAAACUGGACUUGAAUUUUUAAAAAAUGAAGAGUAGAAUUAGCAUAAAAUAUUAAAGAACCUCAUCAUUAAAAUUAUAUAACGAGACACUUACUUGUUUUCAAAUGCAACUGUUAUUGAAUCUUCAUGAACAUCCUUUACAAAUGCCUUGUAGAAAGCGCCAUUGGAGCCCCGCACUUCCACCACCAGCUCCUCCAUCUUCUCUUCAGCCCUGCUAGCGCCGGGAGCCCGCCCCCGAGAGGUGGGCUGCGGGCGCUCGAGGCCCAGCCGCCGCCGCCGCCGCCGCCGCCGCCGCCUCCGCCGCCGCCGCCGCCGCCGCCGCCGCCGCGCUGCCGCACGCCCCCUGGCAGCGGCGCCUCCGUCACCGCCGCCGCCCGCGCUCGCCGUCGGCCCGCCGCCCGCUCAGAGGCGGCCCUCCACCGGAAGUGAAACCGAAACGGAGCUGAGCGCCUGACUGAGGCCGAACCCCCGGCCCGCUGCGGGUGUAAACACUGAAACCACGUCACGUGAUCAACGCUGUUCCCUCCCCCCGCGGGCUCAGCCCCUCGGCCCCGCCCUCUCUCUUCAAGUGGCCUGGGAGCGCGCGCAUGCGCGCUGCUGGGAACCGGCCGGGGUGCCGGGUCGAAAGACAGACGCGCGGGCCGGGCGUGCGCGGGCUUGGUGGAGGGCGGGAAGGCUGAAGGGCGGUGACAGGUCGCACUGCCUCGCGAGGGCCAGAACGCCCAUUUCUGCAGAGGUGCACUCAGUGGCGUGGGAAAUCAAAUGCAUCCGGUUAUCCCAGUUCGGCCUCUCUGGGAUUCCGCGGGAGGGGGUGUCUGGUCUGGUUUGGUUUGGUUUGGUUUGGUUUGGUUUGGUCCGGUUCAAAGUAGCGCAGUCUGACUGAGCGGGAGGUGGAGUGGAAGGCGAGAAUAGGGGUGAAGGAUUAGACAGAAGAAGACUUUGAACUAGGAACAGUGGCAACCAGGGUGACCCAGGCUUUUGUGACCCGUAGAGGCAGAAGCUGCCUUAAUCCAUGUUCCCUUCGGGAUGCUGGUAUCCAACUGAGAAGUUGACGGAGCAUCUAUCGUGUGCCAGACACUGUGCUAAGUGCUAACGAGAAAUCGGUGAGCAAAACAGAAAAGAAAAAAAAAGAAGAAACGACUGCCAGCAUUGAACUUAGUACCUAGCAAAGUAGGUGGACAUAAAUCAAAUUGUCAGACAAGUAAAUGAGUAGUUGCAGCUGUGAUAAGGGGUAUGAAGAAUAGGCGCUUCCAUGAUGGCGGAACAUGACCUAGUCUGGGGUGGAGAAGGGGAGAUGAUUCCAGCUGGAAUAUGGCAGGUGAGAGUUAACUAAUAGCACUGAGUUGGCAGAGGCAGGAUGACCUGCCCCAGGCAGGUGCCCCAGAAUGAGAGGAUGUUGCUGCUGGUGGAACUCCAGCUUUAAAGCGGUGGAUCUAGGGCCACAUUCCUCAAGGCCAUAGCAAACAGGAAAGACCUUUUGGACUAGGGUCUUUGGAGUAGUCACAUGAGGCCAAGAACCCAAUAGGGCUGAAAGAGAAUCUCAUCAUAGGCUGAAUGGGAGCAGAGCAUUAGCUGCAACUCCAAUGUAUUAUAGUAAAAGGGGACACAUUGAUUAGAAUGAUUAUACCCCUCCAAGUGUAAGCUGUUGUUCAAUUUACCCAGGGCUUAAAAAUAUGUCAACUCUUCACAACCAUUUUUACUACAAGCCACACUCAACCUGUGUUGUUCCCUGAACCUGUGAUGCACUUUCAUCCGUUCAUGUCUCUACACAUCCUUCCUGGGCCCCAUAGAGGCCCUGCACCUUAAGGUUUUCAGCUGGAUUCCUAUUAGCUAGUUAUUUUAUCUCAGGUACAGAGAGUUAACUUUGCUCCUCAAUUUUCAGCACAUUGUCAUAUCAGUCCCUACAGGGUCCUUGUUUACAUUAUUUUAUAGUGUUUAUAUUAUUUUUUCCUCAUCUUUCUCGAUCCCCACUCUCAUUCUUCUAGACACAAGCUGCAAUAUGUUCGAUAGAGAUCCUUGAUAAUUUAACACAGAUAAUGUUUUGUUUAUGCCUCUUGCAUUUACAGAGAUGGUAUUGGACUGUAAAUCUCUAUUUCCCACUGUUUUACUCAACAGUCUGUUUUUGAGCUAUACCCACAUUGCUGUGUGUACACCUAGUUUGCUACCGAGUAUGCCAGAAAUUUUAUUCAUACAUAUCCCUACUGAUCGGGCAUCUAGGUUACUGCCAACUCCCUGAAGUCAUACUGUGGUGAAAACCCUUGUGAAUGUCUUUACAAACCUUUGCCAGAACUUAUUUUGUGCUCUUGUAGAACUUUGUGCAUACCCUCUGCUUCCUCAUUACACUGCUUGGCAUAUAGCAGAGACUCAACAAAUGUUGAAUACCUCUACUAUGAUGGUUAGUGUACUAGAAUAAUUUAUUUAUAUUUCUGUUUUCCUUAUUGGAUUAUUAGUACCUUCCAGACAGGGCAAAUGUCUUUUCUAUCUUUGUGUCCCUGGCACAUUAAAAGUGGUUGAUUUCAAGGUAUGUUCAAUGAAUGAAUAAAUACUUAUCUUCACUGCCAGUAC